rnacentral:rRNA from 1 species
GAUGAACGCUGGCGGCGUGCUUAACACAUGCAAGUCGAACGGAAAGGCCCUAGCUUGCUGGGGUACUCGAGUGGCGAACGGGUGAGUAACACGUGGGUGAUCUGCCCUGCACUUUGGGAUAAGCUUGGGAAACUGGGUCUAAUACCGAAUAUGACCACUUCUUGGAUGUUGUGGUGGAAAGCUUCUGCGGUGUGGGAUGAGCCUGCGGCCUAUCAGCUUGUUGGUGGGGUAAUGGCCUACCAAGGCGGCGACGGGUAUCCGGCCUGAGAGGGUGUACGGACACAUUGGGACUGAGAUACGGCCCAGACUCCUACGGGAGGCAGCAGUGGGGAAUAUUGCACAAUGGGCGCAAGCCUGAUGCAGCGACGCCGCGUGGGGGAUGAAGGCCUUCGGGUUGUAAACUCCUUUCGCUAUCGACGAAGCCUUUUAGGUGACGGUAGGUAGAUAAGAAGCACCGGCUAACUCUGUGCCAGCCGCCGCCGUAA